rnacentral:rRNA from 1 species
GACGAACGCUGGCGGCGUGCUUAACACAUGCAAGUCGAACGAGUGGCGAACGGGUGAGUAAUACGUGAGUAACCUGCUCUCUUCUUGGGAUAAGCCUUGGAAACGGGGUCUAAUACCGGACAAAGGGGGAUGGGCUCGCGGCCUAUCCGCUUGUUGGUGGGGUGAUGGCCUACCAAGGCGGUGACGUGUAGCCGGCCUGAGGGGGUGAGCGGGCACAUGAGGACUGCGAUACGGCCCAGAGUCGUAGGGGAGGCAGCAGUGGGGGAAAGUGCGCAAUGGGGGAAAGGCAGAUGCGGCGACGCCGCGAGGGGGUUGGGGGCUUUCGGGUUGUAUACCUCUGUCGCUAUCGAACGGGUAGGUGGAGAAGAAGCGCCGGCUAACUACGUGCCAGCCGCCGCGGUAAUAC